CUGAUGCAGCGACGCCGCGUGAGGGAUGACGGCCUUCGGGUUGUAAACCUCUUUCAGCAGGGAAGAAGCUUUUGUGACGGUACCUGCAGAAGAAGCACCGGCUAACUACGUGCCAGCAGCCGCGGUAAUACGUAGGGUGCGAGCGUUGUCCGGAAUUAUUGGGCGUAAAGAGCUUGUAGGCGGUUUGUCGCGUCUGCUGUGAAAAUUCAGGGCUUAACCCUGGACGUGCAGUGGGUACGGGCAGACUAGAGUGUGGUAGGGGAGACUGGAAUUCCUGGUGUAGCGGUGGAAUGCGCAGAUAUCAGGAGGAACACCGAUGGCGAAGGCAGGUCUCUGGGCCAUUACUGACGCUGAGAAGCGAAAGCAUGGGGAGCGAACAGGAUUAGAUACCCUGGUAGUCCAUGCCGUAAACGUUGGGCGCUAGGCGUGGGCCUCAUUCCACGAGGUCCGUGUCGAAGCUAACGCAUUAAGCGCCCCGCCUGGGGAGUACGGCCGCAAGGCUAAAACUCAAAGGAAUUGACGGGGGCCCGCACAAGCGGCGGAGCAUGCUGAUUAAUUCGAUGCAACGCGAAGAACCUUACCAAGGCUUGACAUGCACCGGACAGCCCCAGAGAUGGGGUCUUCUUCGGACUGGUGCACAGGUGGUGCAUGGUUGUCGUCAGCUCGUGUCGUGAGAUGUUGGGUUAAGUCCCGCAACGAGCGCAACCCUCGUUCUAUGUUGCCAGCACGUAAUGGUGGGGACUCAUAGGAGACUGCCGGGGUCAACUC
rnacentral:rRNA from 1 species